rnacentral:rRNA from 2 species
AAAUUGAAGAGUUUGAUCAUGGCUCAGAUUGAACGCUGGCGGCAGGCCUAACACAUGCAAGUCGAGCGGUAGCACAGAGAGCUUGCUCUCGGGUGACGAGCGGCGGACGGGUGAGUAAUGUCUGGGAAACUGCCUGAUGGAGGGGGAUAACUACUGGAAACGGUAGCUAAUACCGCAUAACGUCGCAAGACCAAAGUGGGGGACCUUCGGGCCUCAUGCCAUCAGAUGUGCCCAGAUGGGAUUAGCUAGUAGGUGGGGUAACGGCUCACCUAGGCGACGAUCCCUAGCUGGUCUGAGAGGAUGACCAGCCACACUGGAACUGAGACACGGUCCAGACUCCUACGGGAGGCAGCAGUGGGGAAUAUUGCACAAUGGGCGCAAGCCUGAUGCAGCCAUGCCGCGUGUGUGAAGAAGGC